rnacentral:rRNA from 1 species
GCCUGCAGCUAUAUCACUCUGCAGUCCACAGCUGAUAACCCACUGAAUCUCAGCAGCCAUGAUCCUGGUCAGUACCUGGAUGGGAGACCUCCUGGGAAAAACUAAGGUUGCUGCUGGAU